AAUUUCACUUUCCGUGUGUUAAUUGCUACUAUGUAGAAAUGUGAUAGAUUUUUAAAUGCUAUCUUUUAUCCUCAGAAUAGACUAAUCUCAUGUAUUCUAGAGAUUUUCGUAGAUCCCCUGGGCUUGUCUGUGUACAUAAUUUCAUUAGUUUCCUAAUGCAGCCUGUCAACGGAAAUUCAAUCCACGAUCAAGUUGGGAAGAAUAAAAGGGAGUUUUAUUUGAGCCGAGAUGAGGAUGAUAACCCGGGAAGCAGAUUCUCAGGAAGCUCUGAGGACUGAUGCGCCUGUUUAAACUCAAAGAUGGGGAGACCCCAAGUGCAGACUGUGAGAACCACCCCAGCUUGCAUCUGCCUAGGUGGCAGCAUCAGAAACCGAACUUGUGUUUUCUAGCUGCAGUCAAGCCUCUUCACCGUGAUGCUACGUGAAGAAAGAAGUCCACAAUAGCUAAAGUGGAUAAUGAGUAUUUCCAGAUACCGUCCACUUGCCCUAAGAGCAAAGGAGGGGAAAAAUCCACGCGGGACCGAGUUCAUCUUCCUGACACAGACAACGCGCUUAGACCGGUCUUGAGAAAACCCGGGGAGGAGAGCCCUGUGGCCGCCUCCUGGGGGCUGAGGAGGAGCCCGAAGGCGCGAGGACAGCGAUCUAAAAUAUUUCUGGAUCCAGGCACCGCCGGACAUCGACCCUGCCCGCCGAGAUAGCAGUUCCCGGCCCGCGGAACUGCUUCAGCCUCACUAGCAGAACUCGCGUGCAACCCGCUGGCAGAAACAGCAUUCGAUCUUAAACCGUUUUCAGCUUAGGAGGAAGACAUCUUAGUUUCCAACAUAAGUGGCCAACACGACUGUAAGCUUUUACCUUAAAACUGUUAGAACCGUAACUUAAAAUAUUCAGGAAGCAGUGCUGCUGCUUGAGGCCCAGAAGUCGCAAGCGUUUCUAAGCGCGGAGGGCCUCCUUCGAAAGCUAAGA